rnacentral:rRNA from 1 species
UACGACUACAUAUCAGGCAUAUCAAUAAGCGGAGGAAAAGAAACUAACAAGGAUUCCCCUAGUAACGGCGAGUGAAGCGGGAAGAGCUCAAGUUUGAAAUCUUAAAGGUUUCUACCUUGACGAAUUGUAGUUUAAAGAAGUGUUUUCUGUUAGAGUUCGGUAGCAAAAGUUCCUUUGGAAUAGGGACAUCAUAGAGGGUGAGAAUCCCGUAUUUGACCGUUAUUUUCUAGCUGUGUGAUACACUUUCAAAGAGUCGGAUUGUUUGGGAAUGCAGUCCAAGAUGGGUGGUAAAUUUCAUCUAAAGCUAAAUAUUGGCGAGAGACCGAUAGCGAACAAGUACCGUGAGGGAAAGAUGAAAAGAACUUUGAAAAGAGAGUUGAACAGUACGUGAAAUUGUCAAAAGGGAAGCGUUUGACACCAGUGUUGUUUUUCCGAAAAUCAAUUAAGAAGGGCUUGAUUUUGUGUUGUAUUGACCUUAUCAGCUUUCUUCACUCUUUUUCGAGUCUUUCUUAAUGCACUUUUCGGUUAACAAGUCAACAUCAAUUUCUCUUGUUGUAAAAGGGUAUUUGGAAGGUGGCUUUCUUUUCGGAGAAAGUGUUUAUAGCCUUAUACCUCUACAAUCGGAGAGAUUGAGGUCUGCAGCGUAGAUCCUUCGGGGCUAGAUACACUUGUGCUAAGUUAUAGCUUUUCAUAGACAACUUGUUGACUAUGUUUAGUCAUGUAGCUUACCCGCUUGUGCUAUUUUACCUACGCUUAGGAUGUUGAUCUACAGAGCGAGAGU